GUGGGGAAUCUUGCGCAAUGGGCGAAAGCCUGACGCAGCCAUGCCGCGUGAAUGAUGAAGGUCUUAGGAUUGUAAAAUUCUUUCACCGGGGACGAUAAUGACGGUACCCGGAGAAGAAGCUCCGGCUAACUUCGUGCCAGCAGCCGCGGUAAUACGAAGGGGGCUAGCGUUGCUCGGAAUUACUGGGCGUAAAGGGCGCGUAGGCGGACAGCUUAGUCAGAGGUGAAAGCCCAGGGCUCAACCUUGGAAUUGCCUUUGAUACUGGCUGUCUUGAGUUUGGGAGAGGUGAGUGGAACUCCGAGUGUAGAGGUGAAAUUCGUAGAUAUUCGGAAGAACACCAGUGGCGAAGGCGACUCACUGGCCCAAUACUGACGCUGAGGCGCGAAAGCAUGGGGAGCAAACAGGAUUAGAUACCCGGGUAGUCC
rnacentral:rRNA from 1 species